rnacentral:rRNA from 1 species
GACGAACGCUGGCGGCGUGCUUAACACAUGCAAGUCGAACGAAGAGCGAUGGAAGCUUGCUUCUAUCAAUCUUAGUGGCGAACGGGUGAGUAACGCGUAAUCAACCUGUCCUUCAGAGGGGGACAACAGUUGGAAACGACUGCUAAUACCGCAUACGAUCUAAUCUCGGCAUCGAGGAUAGAUGAAAGGUGGCCUCUACAUGUAAGCUAUCACUGAAGGAGGGGAUUGCGUCUGAUUAGCUAGUUGGAGGGGUAACGGCCCACCAAGGCGAUGAUCAGUAGCCGGUCUGAGAGGAUGAACGGCCACAUUGGGACUGAGACACGGCCCAGACUCCUACGGGAGGCAGCAGUGGGGAAUCUUCCGCAAUGGACGAAAGUCUGACGGAGCAACGCCGCGUGAGUGAUGACGGCCUUCGGGUUGUAAAGCUCUGUUAAUCGGGACGAAAGGCCUUCUUGCGAAUAGUGAGAAGGAUUGACGGUACCGGAAGAGAAAGCCACGGCUAACUACGUG